CCGAAGCCGAGCCCACCGCCGCCGCCGCCGCUGCUCCCGCUGCUGCUUCAGCGCCACACAUCGCCGGGACACCCGCGCCGGGCAGCCCCGCCAGCCGCCCGCUUGCCGGCGCUGUGCCCCGCCUGAGAUCCGGGCCGCCCCUCCUGCCGCCCGACUUCGUGUCCCCACGGCUCCACGCGCCCCUCGUCACGGUCCGCUGCGGUUUCGGAGCCGCCCGCGAACCAAGGAGUUGACUUGCAGGCGUCCGCCAAGGUCUCCCCAAGGUGGCGCCACACCCAGGAUAGGCCCCGGGGCCCUCCGCAGCGCUGGCGCCGAGUUGAUGACGUAAAAUGCUCAGGUUCGCGGGGCGGGGCUAUUGGACCUCACCACCGGACUCUAGUGGCUUCGCGAGCGUCUCUCUUUUCUCCCAUCGCCGCGGACGAAAUUUGUGGCGCCAGAAACACUCUGCGGAAGGAGCCGGGGAUAUCAACUCGUAAUAGAGAAGAGGAAACUGAGGCCACAGGCGGGUCCUGCGUUGUUACUUUUGCCUGAGAAACGUGGACUGGGAACAAAAUCAAGGAGUGGAAGAGUCAGAACCUUGUAACUCAGUGAAAGAGACACCAAACUAGGUAGAUGCAAGUGCCAUGAGGACAGGGACAGACGUUUCAGCUGACCUGGUGCCACCACACACCACCUUAAGCCUGAGAAGCUGCAGAGAAGAUGGGAGAACGGGGGUGAGCCCAAAGCUUUGCCCUUUGCUGCCCGGUUUACGUGUAACGGCACUGUUGCUGCUGCUCAUCAUCAAAGCUAAAAUACAGAAUCAUUUCUUGAAGCAACGUCAACUGGAAUAUCCCAUUACUGCUGGCUGCUCAUAAAAUCCUCGUCUCCUCAAUGAGCCAUCGGGGCUUCCCUGGUGUCGCAGUGGUUAAGAAUCCGCCUGCCAGUGCAGGAAACAUGGGUUCAAGCCCUGAUCUGGGAAGAUCCCACAUGCCGCGGAGCAACUAAGCCCGUGCGCCACAACUACUGAGCCUGCGCUCUAGAGCCCGCGAGCCACAACUACUGAACACCGCAUGCCUACAGCCCAAGCUUCACAACGAGAAGCCACCGCAAUGAGAAGCCCACGCACCACAACAAAGAGUAGCCCCCACUCGCCGCAGCCAUAGAAAAGCCCACGUUGCAGCAACAAAGACCCAACACAGCCAAAAACAAAAUAAAAUAAAAUAAAUUUUUUUUAAAAAUUAAAAAUAAAUAAAUUACAGCCAUCCUAGUGGAUGUGCCAUAGGUGCUAAGCUUUUAAGGCCAGUGUUUACAUAGAUGUGGGCCCUCAGCUCUGGUCUCCUGCUCUUGUUACAGCUUGGUAAGGAGCCCCAGUCAUCCAUCUGCUUGCCCAAGAACAGCUGCACGGGCAUAUGCACUGGAGGGAAGUUUAAUCUGGAGGAGAGGGGGAAGGACAUCCCUAUCUGCUAUACCACACCCUGCCCCAGGAAGAACUAAGCCCGGCACCCCAAUUCUGGGAUGUGAGUAGUGGAUGCCAGAAGACCCUGGCUUGGGGAUCUCUACCUGGGUUGCGAGAGGCUGCUGGGAGGC